CGGGUUAUUCCUGCGCAUCCGGUAAGGGCGACGACUAGCGGGAUAGCUUUUCCUGAUUUCCUGUUUCAGGAUUAGCGAAACUUAAACAGGAUAGUCUUUCAAGCAUCCUGCCUGGAGGAGACUUGAACAGGCGAAAGCCAAAGUUCAGGCUAAGUAUGUAGAUGCCUGUGUGGAAUAUUUUCGGACGCGGGUUCGACUCCCGCCGCCUCCACCA
rnacentral:tmRNA from 1 species